UACGUAGGGGGCUAGCGUUGUCCGGAAUCAUUGGGCGUAAAGCGCGUGUAGGCGGUCCGGUAAGUCCGCUGUGAAAGUCGGGGGCUCAACCCUCGGAUGCCGGUGGAUACUGUCGGGCUUGAGUACGGAAGAGGCGAGUGGAAUUCCUGGUGUAGCGGUGAAAUGCGCAGAGAUCGACAAGAACACCGGUGGCGAAGGCGGGUCUCUGGACAGUUCCUGACGCUGAGGGACGAAAGCUAGGGGAGCAAACGGG
rnacentral:rRNA from 1 species